UACAGAGGUCUCAAGCGUUGUUCGGAUUCAUUGGGCGUAAAGGGUGCGUAGGUGGCGCUGUAAGUCGGGUGUGAAAUUUCGGAGCUUAACUCCGAAACUGCAUUCGAUACUGCGGUGCUUGAGGACUGGAGAGGAGACUGGAAUUUACGGUGUAGCGGUGAAAUGCGUAGAUAUCGGGAAGAACACCCGUGGCGAAGGCGGCUCUCUGGGACGGUACUGACGCUGAGACGCGAAAGCGUGGGGAGCGAACAGG
rnacentral:rRNA from 1 species